rnacentral:rRNA from 1 species
GACGAACGCUGGCGGCGUGCUUAACACAUGCAAGUCGAACGAAGUGGCGAACGGGUGAGUAACACGUGGGUAACCUGCCCUCCUUUUUGGGCUACGCCUUGGAAUCGCGGUCUAAUACCGAAUAAAGGGGGAUGGGCUCGCGGCCUAUCAGUGUGUUGGUGGGGUGAUGGCCUACCACGGCGGUGACGGGGAGAGGGCCUGAGAGGCUGAACUGCAACAUUGAGACGGUGCAACGGCCCAGGCGCCUACGGGGGGCAGCAUUGUGUGAUAUUGCACAAUGGGUGAAAGCGUGAUGCAGCGAGGCCGCGUGGGGGCUGAGGGCUGUAGGGUUGUAAACUUCUUGCGGUAUCGAACGGGUAGGUGGAGAAGAAGCGCCGGCUAACUACGUGCCAGCAGCCGCGGUAAUUC